GACGAACGCUGGCGGCGUGCUUAACACAUGCAAGUCGAACGGUGAAGCGCCUUCCUUUUUGGUGGGUGUGGAUGAGUGGCGAACGGGUGAGUAACACGUGAGUAACCUGCCCCCUUCUUCUGGAUAACCGCAUGAAAGUGUGGCUAAUACGGGAUAUUCUGGGUCUGUCGCAUGAUGGGUCUGGGAAAGAUAUUGUUUCGGUGGGGGAUGGGCUCGCGGCCUAUCAGCUUGUUGGUGGGGUGAUGGCCUACCAAGGCGGUGACGGGUAGCCGGCCUGAGAGGGUGGACGGUCACACUGGGACGGAGACACGGCCCAGACGCAUACGGGAGGCAGCAGUGGGGAAUAUGGCACAAUGGGCGCAAGCCUGAUGCAGCGACGCCGCGUGAGGGGGGGAGGCCGUCGGGUGGGGAACCUCUUUCGCCAGUGAAGCAGGCCUGCCUCGUUUGUGGGUGGGUUGACGGUAGCUGGAUAAGAAGCGCCGGCUAACUACGU
rnacentral:rRNA from 1 species